rnacentral:rRNA from 1 species
GCUAUUUUAAACUUAUUUUAAAGACUUAGGAUAAUUAGACCGAGGGCCUUCAAAGCCUUAAGCAGAAGUUAUAAGAGGUACUGCCUGCCCAGUGACACCUGUUCAACGGCCGCGGUAUUAUGACCGUGCAAAGGUAGCGUAAUCACUUGUCUUUUAAAUAAAGACCUGUAUGAAUGGCGAAACGAGAGCCAAACUGUCUCUCCCAACUAAUCAGUGAAAUUGAUCUUCCCGUGCAGAAGCAGGAAUAUUAAUACAAGACGAGAAGACCCUAUGGAGCUUUAAGCUAUAACAAUGCAAAAACUACAAGGAGCCCUUAGUAAAGCUUUAGGUUGGGGCGACCACGGAGAAAAAUAAAACCUCCGAGAUGAUUAGCCAAGAAAAACACAUCAAAGCAACAAAAACCUUGACACAUUGACCCAAUAUUUGACCAACGAACCAAGUUACCCUAGGGAUAACAGCGCAAUCUUCUCAUAGAGUCCUUAUCGACGAGAAGGUUUACGACCUCGAUGUUGGAUCAGGGCCCCCAAAUGGUGCAGCAGCUAUUAAAGGUUCGUUUGUUCAACGAUUAAAGCCCUACGUGAU